rnacentral:rRNA from 1 species
AUUGAACGCUGGCGGAAUGCCAUACACAUGCAAGUCGAACGGUAGAGGGGGCAACCCCUCGAGAGUGGCGAACGGGUGAGUAAUAAAUCGGAACGUGCCCAGUCGUGGGGGAUAACGUAGCGAAAGUUACGCUAAUACCGCAUACGAUCUAAGGAUGAAAGCGGGGGAUCGCAAGACCUCGCGCGAUUGGAGCGGCCGAUAUCAGAUUAGGUAGUUGGUGGGGUAAAGGCUCACCAAGCCAACGAUCUGUAGCUGGUCUGAGAGGACGACCAGCCACACUGGAACUGAGACACGGUCCAGACUCCUACGGGAGGCAGCAGUGGGGAAUUUUGGACAAUGGACGCAAGUCUGAUCCAGCCAUUCCGCGUGCAGGAUGAAGGCCCUCGGGUUGUAAACUGCUUUUGUACGGAACGAAAAGGUCUCUCUUAAUACGGGGGACUCAUGACGGUACCGUAAGAAUAAGCACCGGCUAACUACGUGCCAGCCGCCGCGGUAA